GCCUGAGAAACGGCUACCACAUCCAAGGAAGGCAGCAGGCACGCAAAUUACCCAAUCCCAGCUCUGGGAGGUAGUGACGAAAAAUAACAAUGCGGGACUCUUCCGAGUCUGCGUAAUUGGAAUGAGCACACUUUAAAUCCUUUAGCAACAACCAAUUGGAGGGCAAGUCUGGUGCCAGCAGCCGCGGUAAUUCCAGCUCCAAUAGCGUAUAUUAAAGUUGUUGCGGUUAAAAAGCUCGUAGUCCGAGUUCAGUUCCGGACUGGCCGGGGAGGUCACCGCCCGGUGCUUCCCCGUCAGGCUCCGAACAGCUUUUAUGACUAAAAGCCAAGCCGGUUUUCGCCGGGGUGCUCUUCACCGAGUGUCCCGCGCGGCCGGCCAGUUGACCUUGAAUAAAUGAGAGUGCUCAAAGCAGGCUACUCUUAAAAAUAAAGCCCGAAUGUUACCUGCAUGGAAUGAUGGAAGAUGAUCUCGGUUCCAUUUUAUUGGUUCUGGGAGUCCGAGUUAAUGAUAAACAGGGACUGUCGGGGGCAUCCGUACUACGACGCGAGAGGUGAAAUUCAGUGACCGUCGUAGGACGAACAACAGCGAAAGCAUUUGCCAAGAAUGUCUUCGUUGAUCAAGAACGAAAGUUAGAGGAUCGAAGGCGAUCAGAUACCGCCCUAGUUCUAACCCUAAACGAUGCUGACUAGCAAUCCGCCGUCGUUAUUCCCAUGACGUGGCGGGACGCCCCCGGGAAACCUCAAGUCUUUGAGUUCCGGGGGUAGUAUGGUUGCAAAACUGAAACUUAAAGGAAUUGACGGAAGGGCACCACCAGGAGUGGAGCCUGCGGCUUAAUUUGACUCAACACGGGAAACCUCACCAGGCCCGGACACCAGAAGGAUUGACAGAUUAAGAGCUCUUUCUCGAUUUGGUGGGUGGUGGUGCAUGGCCGUUCUUAGUUGGUGGAGUGAUUUGUCUGGUUAAUUCCGGUAACGAACGAGACUCUGGCCUACUAAAUAGUCGACGUGGGUUUUGGUGCAUGGGCCCCGUUCGACAAUGUCUUCUUAGAGGGAUGAGCAGCGAGUAUAGCUGCAGGAGAUUGAGCAAUAACAGGUCUGUGAUGCCCUUAGAUGUCCUGGGCCGCACGCGCGCUACACUGAAUGGGUUAGCGGGUUCUCCUUCUCCGAGAGGAGAGGGAAAUCGCGUGAAAACCAUUCGUGAUAGGGAUUGGGGCUUGCAAUUGUUUCCCAUGAACGAGGAAUUCCCAGUAAGCGCAAGUCAUCAGCUUGCGUUGAUUAAGUCCCUGCCCUUUGUACACACCGCCCGUCGCUACUACCGAUUGAAUGAUUUAGUGAGGCCUUCGGACUGGCGGUCUUGGACUGGGCUCCACUCGCCAUCACUCCAGCAAUGGAGGGCGGUGGACUCGCCAUGACGAGCCGGAAAGAUGUCCAAACUUGAUCAUUUAGAGGAAGUAAAAGUCGUAACAAGGUUUCC
rnacentral:rRNA from 1 species